CCUACGGGGUGCAGCAGUGGGGAAUAUUGGGCAAUGGGCGCAAGCCUGACCCAGCAACGCCGCGUGAAGGAAGAAGGCUUUCGGGUUGUAAACUUCUUUUCUCAGGGACGAAGAAAGUGACGGUACCUGCGGAAUAAGCCACUGCUAACUACGUGCCAGCAGCCGCGUUAAUACGUAGGUGGCAAGCGUUAUCCGGAUUUACUGGGUGUAAAGGGCGUGUAGGCGGGACUGCAAGUCAGAUGUGAAAACCACGGGCUCAACCUGUGGCCUGCAUUUGAAACUGUAGUUCUUGAGUACUGGAGAGGCAGACGGAAUUCCUAGUGUAGCGGUGAAAUGCGUAGAUAGUAGGAGGAACACCAGUGGCGAAGGCGGGCUGCUGGACAGCAACUGACGCUGAGGCGCGAAAGCGUGGGGAGCAAACAGGAUUAGAUACCCCAGUAGUC
rnacentral:rRNA from 1 species